GAUGAACGCUGGCGGCGUGCCUAAUACAUGCAAGUCGAGCGAACAGAUAAGGAGCUUGCUCCUUUGACGUUAGCGGCGGACGGGUGAGUAACACGUGGGUAACCUGCCUAUAAGACUGGAAUAACUCCGGGAAACCGGGGCUAAUGCAGGAUAACAUGUUGAACCGCAUGGUUCUACAGUGAAAGGCGGCUUUGCUGUCACUUAUAGAUGGACCCGCGCCGUAUUAGCUAGUUGGUGAGGUAACGGCUCACCAAGGCAACGAUACGUAGCCGACCUGAGAGGGUGAUCGGCCACACUGGAACUGAGACACGGUCCAGACUCCUACGGGAGGCAGCAGUAGGGAAUCUUCCGCAAUGGGCGAAAGCCUGACGGAGCAACGCCGCGUGAGUGGUGAAGGUCUUCGGAUCGUAAAACUCUGUUAUUAGGGAAGAACAAAUGCGUAAGUAACUGUGCGCGUCUUGACGGUACCUAAUCAGAAAGCCACGGCUAACUACGUG
rnacentral:rRNA from 1 species